CAGCCGCCGCGGGAAUACGAAGGGUGCAAGCGUUAAUCGGAAUUACUGGGCGUAAAGCGAGCGUAGGCGGUGAGUUAAGUCUGCUGUGAAAUCCCCGGGCUCAACCUGGGAAUGGCAGUGGAUACUGGCUCGCUAGAGUGUGUCAGAGGAUGGUGGAAUUCCCGGUGUAGCGGUGAAAUGCGUAGAGAUCGGGAGGAACAUCAGUGGCGAAGGCGGCCAUCUGGGACAACACUGACGCUGAGGCACGAAAGCGUGGGGAGCAAACAGGAUUAGAUACCCCUGUAGUCCCUGUCUCUUAUAC
rnacentral:rRNA from 1 species